GAUGAAGAACGUAGUGAAAUGCGAUAAGUAAUGUGAAUUGCAGAAUUCAGUGAAUCAUCGAAUCUUUGAACGCACAUUGCGCCCCUUGGUAUUCCGAGGGGCAUGCCCGUUCGAGCGUCAUUAUACCCCUCAAGCCUAGCUUGGUGUUGGGGCCUGCUGUUACCGGCAGCCCUUAAAAUCAGUGGCGGUGCCAUCUGGCUCUAAGCGUAGUAAUACUUCUCGCUACAGGGUCCCGGUGGAUGCUUGCCAUCAACCCCUAAUUUUCUAUGGUUGACCUCGGAUCGGGUAGGGACACCCGCUGAACUUAAGCAUAUCAAUAAGCGGAGGA
rnacentral:misc_RNA from 1 species